rnacentral:lncRNA from 1 species
AGAGCCAUAAAUUUCAUUCGAAUACGCGUAUAACAUCUAUUACAACCCAUAAAAAGGGGCAUACUGUUUGAAGCAAAAUUACAAAGUUUAACCAAAAAAAGACAUAAAUUCAUCCUAAUCUUAAUCACAUCCUCAAGCUCUUCUUUGAUUUUUGGUUGAACCAUUGGUGUGUGAAUACUCCAAUUUCCAAUCCUGAUAGCGCGAUUGUUUAAAAAACAAACCGUCACGCCGUGAGUAUUAGCAAGGAGACGACCAAACCAUGGUAAGUAACAAUCCUGUUGCGCAACACACCGCCGAUGUGAACCAUGUAUCAAGCAUCACCUGCAAUGCAUUUGUAAUACCAUAAGAGCCACACGGUGACAUAAAACAAAUUCAGCAUAACUACACCAUGAUACCAAGAUACACAACGCAUAACGGACCUGAGGCCAAUCAGGACAAAAUGUUGCUACUCUACAUCAGCAUAGAAUCAUUACAACAAUAAAGCCAUGCCAAGCAUCAUGAAUCUUCCAUUACCAUGACCUCAACCCUUACAGCAGCGAGACCUGCAUUAACCAUCUUGCAGCCAUAAUCCACUCACCUAAAUUGAAUCAAUCCAAUACACCAAAUAUGGACCUAUGCAUCCUAUAAGUUGAUUUUAACCCUGCAAUUGCCAUGACUCUGUCAAACAAAUAUGGACAUUGUUUCCAAGAACAGAUACAUAAGCUGAAGUUUUGUUUCGUGUUGCGCAUAUCGUAUGGAAAACAGGUCACAAUCAGUUAGACCUCAAGGCAAAAACUGCAGAAGCAUGUUGAAAAGAAAUCUUUUAUUAUAACCAAUGCUUUAUAGACAAGGUUAAUACAGGAAAGCUCAAAUCACUUAUAAACCAUGAUUGACGAACCUUAAGUCAGGUAGAAGCAUUGUUGUUGUGCGCAUAACCAUGACCAAUGAUAGUAGGCAAACUUCAGGAGGAAUAAACCUGCCAAGACAGGAAUUACCAGUUACCCGACUAUGAAUGAAAAUUGAAAGUUCAAGUCAUAUAAAAGGAUUACAAAUAUAAAAAUUAAGUUAAGGUUUCUACUGCAGUAAAGAAAAAUCUCAACGCACCACAUAGUUUUUUUGUUCACUACGGACAAAACCCUAUCCUUUCAUUUCGGGGACCAAAUCAAUUUGGAGGACCACCAAAUCUGGAAGGGUUCAUGAAGGAUGAGAACCAAUGAACCUCGUACUCGACUCUAUAAAAGGGGGCAUUGAACCAUUGAAGACUCUCUCGGAUUUACGCAUCGUUACUCUGCCAAAAAAUCACCAUCAAAUCACCAAAGUUCAUAUUAUAAAAACUACCCAGAGUUUCUCAUUGAAACUUUGGAUUAGUCGAACUAAACCGACCAUCGCGACUUGCGACAUAGAAAGGAAGAAGAAGAAGACAAGGAGCGCAAGAGGGCGGAAAGAAGGAAAGAAGGAGUAGAUACCUGAAGCCAUCACCACCGCCGGAAUUUUGCCGGAUUCCCAAGGUUUUCACGAGACCCAUUCGCCUUCACGUUAGGGUUUGCUCUUUUCUACUCUUCGAGAGAUUUUUGCUUGCACCUGUUUUGUGUUUGUUUUAAGCUAGAUGACUAUUGAUGUUGGUAUGGGAUAUGUUUAAGAUUCCAAAAACUUGAUGUUGUAUUUAAGGUUUGUGGCUCCAUUAAAACUCGUGGGUAGGGAUGGGUCUGUAGUUCGUAAAUGUUCAUCCCAUUUUCGACUGAGGUAGAUGUUAGAAAUUUUUUGGUCUUAUAAUAUUUGAAGGUUGGUUUUUGUUUGAAGCCAUAGUUUUAGAGUUAAAGGAA